rnacentral:lncRNA from 1 species
UGCGCCACAUCUGGAUCUAUGCCAAUUUCUCCACACCUAAUUGGAUUUGAUUUAUGAUUUUUGGCAUCAUGAGAGAGGAUCCAAUAAGGGUGGUUGGCUAAAGUUGAUGAGUCAUAAUAUUAUCUCUUACCUAAUUUGAAUGUGAUCCAAUUAGAGAUAAGAUGCAGACUAAGAAAAGAAUUUUUUGUAUAUAGUAUAUUGAUGGAGUCAUAUUAUUUUUUAUA